rnacentral:rRNA from 1 species
UACGUAGGGUGCGAGCGUUGUCCGGAUUUAUUGGGCGUAAAGAGCUCGUAGGCGGUUUGUCGCGUCGACUGUGAAAACUGGGGGCUUAACUCUCAGCUUGCAGUUGAUACGGGCAGACUUGAGUUCGGUAGGGGAGACUGGAAUUCCUGGUGUAGCGGUGAAAUGCGCAGAUAUCAGGAGGAACACCGGUGGCGAAGGCGGGUCUCUGGACAGUUCCUGACACUGAGGCACGAAGGCUAGGGGAGCAAACGGG